ACCCAACUGACAAGUCCCAAAUAGGACGAAACGCACAUUCUGGAU
rnacentral:hammerhead_ribozyme from 1 species